CCUGGGAGCUUCAAGGGCAGAAAAUUGCCUAAUGGCUGGUUGCUAGGUGACUCUCGCUGUGCCUGAGAGCCAUGGGUACUCACCUUCCUGUCCGUGGCUGGACCAGCUGAGCAGCAGUGCAGUGCAGCCUCCACCCAUGCAAGACAAGUCAUACAGUGCGCCUUUGGUGUUCUGAGCAGGACACAGCAUAUCCGUCCGGCAUGGCAUUGACAGCACUAGUAAUGAUGCAGUAUCACGGGAUCACGUGCCCCACUGUCAUCUAAUUGUACAGUGUAUCUCGGACAAAACGCACAAGGCCAACAAGUAGACAGCGAC
rnacentral:lncRNA from 1 species